rnacentral:lncRNA from 1 species
CUUAAUUAAAGAUUUGAUCUCUGCAUUACAGGUGUAACAUAAUAUACACCUGUCAAAAAAAUUUAUUUCUUCAGCUUCAUCUUUCUGCAUUAUUCAGAAACUUCAGUCUGCAACGCUAUCUGCACUUUGCAAGUCUACAGUUUAGGCGUGCUUUUCUUCAAAUUUUCCGUCCCAGUCUUUCUUUUCUUAAAACCCUUGAUUUUUUCUAUUCAAAUCGCCAUCAGCCUCCCGCAUAAGCCAUCUGCCAGCCUUGUCGCGCUUUCAGCCUUUUCAGACUUCUGCUCCAUCGUUCUUCUCUUUUUCUUCUUCUGCGCGUGAACGACUGAAUAAGAAGAAAAAAUGAACAACCGUUAGGCAGAAGGCCAUAAAAACGGUGCCGUUCAAGCUAAAAACUAAUAAUUAAAGAAAUUAUAAAUAAUUUAAUCAUUUCCAUACGUAACUUUUCAUUGCGCCUUCAGUUAUUAUUGUUAUUAUUAUUAUUGUAUAUGAUUUUUAUUAUUAAAGCUAAAUAUUUAACUAAUUUCUAAUAAAAUUAAUAAUUAUAGGAUAGACAAAAGUCAUUGUCACACAUAUAGUGAUGAAAUGUGUACAGUAUCUAUUUAAUUUUUAUUUUUAAUUAUCGUAUUUAUAUAUAUACAUAUAUCAUUCACUCGCUCGCUCACUCACUCACCCUCGUCGGAGCAAGAGAAGCAGUAUGGUCUGAACCUACUCUCAAAUGCUUCUUAUACCCUCUUCCUCAACACCUUGGCGGUCUCACUUACCAUGAGUUCAACGCCUCUCGUCUCGGUCUCUCUGCUGCGCCUUCUGCUAUUCGUACUUGGUAUUCUCAUCACCCGGCUUCUGUCCAUCUGAGAAAGAAAGGAGUCGUCACCUCUGUCAAAGAUGAGGGCGCCUGCGGUGCUUAUUCUUUUUGCCUUCAAUUCUUACUUCAUGUUAUUUCGCGUAGUUGUUGGCUGUUGUUGAUCGCCUUGAACUCAUGGUGAGUGAGAUCCGAGAAGGGUGGAAGAAGCAUUUGAGAGGAGGUAUAAGAAGCAUUUUCAGCCUGUACUUGCUCCGAGGAGUAUGUAUUUCAAUCUUCCAACAGUUGGUUUAUAUGUAAAGAAGAAGAAGAAGAGGAGGAAGAAAUGCAGAGAUUUCAACCUUUGUGUCGAUUCAGUACUUAUCAAUUAAUUUUAGGAUGUGAUUUAAGGUUUAAGUUUGAUUAACCAGAAAUUGGGUAAUUACUAGAAAUCAAACUGAAUGGUAUAUUUUUAUAAUUGGUAGAACUAAAACCCAAUGUGCAAUUAUAAUCAAAUUGAAUCAAUUAUAACUUUAAAAUUAUAUUUAGAUAUACUUUAAUCUAUCAUAUUUCUAUAUUAUUAAUACUUAUCAAAAUGGGGUUAAAUAAAUUAAUAAAAGAAAUAACUUAUAACUAAAAUUCAGAUCUUUUUAAUUUAAAUUGAAAAUUAUGUUAAAUAAUAUAUUACAUUUAAGUAUUAUAUAUGUUAUACAUUUAGUUUAUAAUGGAGUUAAUUUCAAAUAAAUCCCUAUUUUUUAAAUUUAUUAUUCAAACUCCAAGUACCACUAUCAAUUUUAAUUACUUUAACAAGAUAUCAAUUAUGCAUACCCAAUAUAAUAUAAAUGUACAUUAAAAACAAUAUAACCGAUAAAUAAAACAAUUAACUUUCAACGAGGAGAUACAACACAUCUUUAUAUGUGUAUAUAUAUAUAUAUAUAUAUAAGGGUUGGUGAAUUAGUAAAUGAAAAAUAAAGAGAAUGAGUUAUGAUUAUAUGGUAGCAAGAAUGUUUAUAUUUUAUCUUAAAGUUUAUAAUUUUAAACUUUAUUAAAAAUGUAAUCUAUAAAAUAAUAUAAAAAGAAGAUAGAAGUCAAGUAAAAGUAGUCAAAGGUGAUGCAGACACCUGAUGAGGAAGAUUCUCUCGUGCAACAAAAUCUCU